rnacentral:rRNA from 1 species
CCUACGGGCCGCACCAGUAGGGAAUCUUCCACAAUGGGCGCAAGCCUGAUGGAGCAACGCCGCGUGUGUGAUGAAGGCUUUCGGGUCGUAAAGCACUGUUGUAUGGGAAGAACGGGUUUAAGAGGAAAUGCUUAAACAGUGACGGUACCAUACCAGAAAGGGACGGCUAAAUACGUGCCAGCAGCCGCGGUAAUACGUAUGUCCCGAGCGUUAUCCGGAUUUAUUGGGCGUAAAGCGAGCGCAGGCGGUUGCGUAAGUCUGAAGUGAAAGCCCACAGCUCAACUGUGGAAUGGCUUUGGAAACUGGGCAACUUGAGUGCAGUAGGGGUAAGUGGAACUCCAUGUGUAGCGGUGGAAUGCGUAGGUAUAUGGAAGAACACCAGUGGCGAAGGCGGCUUACUGGACUGCAACUGACGUUGAGGCUCGAAAGUGUGGGUAGCAAACAGGAUUAGAUACCCGUGUAGUC